GAAAAACCAAACCAUGUGGCUUGUUUUUGGUGUUAAAUCCCGAAAUACCUGAAAUGAGGGGAAACAUACAGACAGAGGGGACCCAUUUGGGUUUUAAUUCAGUUCCAAGAAACUGCCCAGCCUGAGAAGAUAAGGACCACUGGGGUCCGUUCUGGCUUUGAGCUACCGAUGAAGUGUGUGUCAUUCCAGUUUGGGAACUGCUUCUCAGAUGUCCCUGGCU
rnacentral:lncRNA from 1 species